CCUACUGGAGGCAGCAGUGGGGAAUAUUGGACAAUGGGCGAAAGCCUGAUCCAGCAAUGCCGCGUGAGUGAUGAAGGCCUUAGGGUCGUAAAGCUCUUUUACCCGGGAUGAUAAUGACAGUACCGGGAGAAUAAGCCCCGGCUAACUCCGUGCCAGCAGCCGCGGUAAUACGGAGGGGGCUAGCGUUGUUCGGAAUUACUGGGCGUAAAGCGUGCGUAGGCGGUUAUUCAAGUCAGAGGUGAAAGCCCGGGGCUCAACCCCGGAACGGCCUUUGAAACUAGGUAGCUAGAAUCUUGGAGAGGUCAGUGGAAUUCCGAGUGUAGAGGUGAAAUUCGUAGAUAUUCGGAAGAACACCAGUGGCGAAGGCGACUGACUGGACAAGUAUUGACGCUGAGGCACGAAAGCGUGGGGAGCAAACAGGAUUAGAUACCCUGGUAGUCCACGCCGUAAACGAUGAUAACUAGCUGUUCGGGUACUUGGUAUCUGAGUGGCGCAGCUACGACAUUAAGUUAUCCGUCCGUCGGGUAGGUACGGUCGCGAGAGUAAACUACAAAUAGAGUUAGUACGGUCGUGAGACGUUGUCCGACGGACGACGACGAGGGAGGUAGG
rnacentral:rRNA from 1 species